rnacentral:rRNA from 1 species
ACGAACGCUGGCGGCGUGCUUAACACAUGCAAGUCGAACGGAAAGGCCCUGCUUUUGUGGGGUGCUCGCGUGGCGAACGGGUGAGUAACACGUGAGUAACCUGCCCUUGACUUUGGGAUAACUUCAGGAAACUGGGGCUAAUACCGGAUAGGAGCUCCUGCUGCAUGGUGGGGGUUGGAAGUUUCGGCGGUUGGGGAUGGACUCGCGGCUUAUCAGCUUGUUGGUGGGGUAGUGGCUUACCAAGGCUUUGACGGGUAGCCGGCCUGAGAGGGUGACCGGCCACAUUGGGACUGAGAUACGGCCCAGACUCCUACGGGAGGCAGCAGUGGGGAAUAUUGCACAAUGGGCGGAAGCCUGAUGCAGCAACGCCGCGUGCGGGAUGACGGCCUUCGGGUUGUAAACCGCUUUCGCCUGUGACGAAGCGUGAGUGACGGUAAUGGGUAAAGAAGCACCGGCUAACUACGUG